rnacentral:rRNA from 1 species
AUUGAACGCUGGCGGCAGGCCUAACACAUGCAAGUCGAGCGGAUGAAGGGAGCUUGCUCCUGGAUUCAGCGGCGGACGGGUGAGUAAUGCCUAUGAAUCUGCCUGGUAGUGGGGUAUAACGUCCUGAAACGGGCGCUAAUACCGCAUACGUCCUGAGGGAGAAAGUGGGGGAUCUUCGGACCUCACGCUAUCAUAUGAGCCUAGGUCGGAUUAGCUAGUUGGUGGGGUAAAGGCCUACCAAGGCGACGAUCCGUAACUGGUCUGAGAGGAUGAUCAGUCACACUGGAACUGAGACACGGUCCAGACUCCUAAGGGAGGCAGCAGUGGGGAAUAUUGGACAAUGGGCGAAAGCCUGAUCCAGCCAUGCCGCGUGUGUGAAGAAGGUCUUCGGAUUGUAAAGAACUUUAAGUUGGGAGGAAGGGCAGUAAGUUAAUACCUUGCUGUUUUGACGUUACCAACAGAAUAAGCACCGGCUAACUUCGUG